rnacentral:rRNA from 1 species
AGAGUUUGAUUAUGGCUCAGGAUGAACGCUAGCUACAGGCUUAACACAUGCAAGUCGAGGGGCAGCGGGAAGUUAGCUUGCUAACUUGCCGGCGACCGGCGCACGGGUGAGUAACGCGUAUCCAACCUUCCCCUUAGUAGGGCAUAGCCCGGCGAAAGUCGGAUUAAUACCCUAUGUUUUCCAAUGAGGACAUCUGAGCUGGAAUAAAGAUUCAUCGCUAAGGGAUGGGGAUGCGUCCGAUUAGCUUGCCGGCGGGUAACGGCCCACCGGGGCGACGAUCGGUAGGGGUUCUGAGAGGAAGGUCCCCCCACACUGGUACUGAGACACGGACCAGACUCCUACGGGAGGCAGCAGUGAGGAAUAUUGGUCAAUGGGCGCGAGCCUGAACCAGCCAAGUAGCGUGCAGGAUGACGGCCCUAUGGGUUGUAAACUGCUUUUAUAGGGGAAUAAAGUUUCCUACGCGUAGGAUUUUGUAUGUACCCUGUGAAUAAGGACCGGCUAAUUCCGUGCCAGCCGCAGC